rnacentral:lncRNA from 1 species
AAUAGCCAAAAAAUACAUGAACUAUCAUCAAAUUUGCAAAUUGCACACGACCUUCAAAAUUAGCCCCAGAAUACACCACCUUUCGAUUUAAUUGUAAUUUGCACAUGUGUUGACCAUCAUCUUAAACGUUGUUGACGUGGCAGCCGGAAAUUGCAGACGUGGACUAACCGCCGGGCAUGUAAAACGACGUCGUUUUAUCAAGUUUUUCUAAAUAAAAAAAAUAAAAAUAAAAAGAAAAAAAACCCUUUCUGCUCAACACCUCAUUUCUGCUCUCUCUCUCUCCACACAGAGACUCCACUCCCUUCUUCCUCACCGGCGUUGCCGGCGUCGUCGCCUCUCCCUUCUCUCGCCUCUCACCCUCUCUCUGUAACACACGCACAACCCAAAAAGACAAGGAAUUCAAACGAAAAUC